rnacentral:rRNA from 1 species
AACGCGAAGAACCUUACCUGGGUUUGACAUGCACAGGACGACGGCAGAGAUGUCGUUUCCCUUGUGGCCUGUGUGCAGGUGGUGCAUGGCUGUCGUCAGCUCGUGUCGUGAGAUGUUGGGUUAAGUCCCGCAACGAGCGCAACCCUUAUUUCAUGUUGCCAGCGCGUAAUGGCGGGGACUCGUGAGAGACUGCCGGGGUCAACUCGGAGGAAGGUGGGGAUGACGUCAAGUCAUCAUGCCCCUUAUGUCCAGGGCUUCACACAUGCUACAAUGGCCGGUACAAAGGGCUGCGAUGCCGCGAGGCUUAGCGAAUCCUUUAAAGCCGGUCUCAGUUCGGAUCGGGGUCUGCAACUCGACCCCGUGAAGUCGGAGUCGCUAGUAAUCGCAGAUCAGCAACGCUGCGGUGAAUACGUUCCCGGGCCUUGUA